rnacentral:rRNA from 1 species
AGUGAACGCUGGCGGUAGGCCUAACACAUGCAAGUCGAACGGCAGCACAGUAAGAGCUUGCUCUUACGGGUGGCGAGUGGCGGACGGAUGAGGAAUACAUCGGAAUCUACUUUUUCGUGGGGGAUAACGUAGGGAAACUUACGCUAAUACCGCAUACGACCUACGGGUUAAAGCAGGAGAUCUUCGGACCUUGCGCGAUUGAAUGAGCCGAUGUCGGAUUAGCUAGUUGGCGGGGUAAAGGCCCACCAAGGCGACGAUCCGUAGCUGGUCUGAGAGGAGGAUCAGCCCAACUGGAACUGGGACAAGGUCCAGACUCCUACGGGAGGGAGCAGUGGGGAAUAUUGGACAAUGGGCGCAAGCCUGAUCCAGCCAUACCGCGUGGGUGAAGAAGGCCUUCGGGUUGUAAAGCCCUUUUGUUGGGAAAGAAAAGCAGCAGGUUAAUACCCCGCUGUUCUGACGGUACCCAAAGAAUAAGCACCGGCUAACUUCGUG